GUCAAUGGUAACACCUUACUGAAGUAAGAGACCUGAAGCGCAAGCUUCAGGUCUCUUAUCUUUAGCAGGGAAGCUGGGGAAAUCCAGCUUUCAUUGUCUAGACUAAGCAAUCCAGUCGGCUUCGGCCAACAGGAUUGCUACGUUAUCCAUGUAUCACACCCAAGGAUGAUGCCCAAAUCUUUGGCUCUGUGGCAGCUCUGUAAACAGUCAUGAGGUUAACGUGACAGUCAACUGCGUUGGCAAGCAUGGAUAACAUUGUCGAUGGGCAUCAACGCAAAUCCAGAUUGU
rnacentral:ncRNA from 1 species